AUGCUUGUCAUAGCCGCUAUCCCGCAUGAUGAGGACUAUCACGACUUUGCCGACCAACGCACACUUUUCCUUGGGAUCCCUAAUACGCUGAAUGUGGUCUCAAUGAUCCCCUUCUUUUUUGUCGGUCUUGCCAGGCUCAUCCUUAACCACUGCGAAAGCUCACAGAGGCGUCUCUAUACACUCCUUUUUGCUGGUGUCAGUGUUGUUGGUUUUGGUUCAUUCUUUUACCAUCUCAACCCGAAAAAUGACACCCUAUUUUGGGACACAUUGCCAAUGAUGAUCGCUUUCACAUCUUUUGAGGCCAUUUUCAUUAUCGAAAGGUUUGAUGAUUGGGCAGGAACAAAGUCGUUUGAAUCAACGAGCUACUGGUUAUGGGCAGCAGGAUUUUACGUUCUUGCAAGAGUAGAAGAAGUUGCAGACAAACCAAUUUAUACGUGGACACUUCAUAUUUUCAGUGGGCAUACUCUUGGUCAUUUAUGUGCUGCAAUGGUGCCUCUUUUUUUCAUUCUCAUGUUAGUGAAAAGGACAAGGCCAAUUCAACCAGAAAGACACAUGAUUGUGCAUCAUCAAUUAAAGCUUGCUUUCAUGAUCUGCUUAUUGGUGCCCAAGAUGAUCUACCUAUGGAUGCCCAAGUUACAGGUUAGUGCCAUAAUGUAUGAAAUCAGCAUUUUGAUGUGGGAGUUCAGUGCUCGUUAUGUGGCUAAUCAGGCAAAGACCUCUGAGGAGCGAGGAAUGUUAGAAACCCCAAUUCGUGCUCGGCAAAUAGUGCCUCGUAUUCGCGGCCUUUAUGGGAUGGAUAUUUAUAAGAAUAAGGUCUUGAAUUCUUACAAAGUGAACGAUCGGAUGAGUCUAUAUUUGGAUUAUGGGGCACGUCAGGUGUUGGCAAGACACGGCUUCUUUCACUCAUCGCUGAUAGCUAUGCUGAUUCAUUUCGUCAUGUCAUAUUUCUUGAUGGUGGCAGUAGCGUGA
rnacentral:rRNA from 1 species